rnacentral:rRNA from 1 species
GAUGAACGCUGGCGGCGUGCCUAAUACAUGCAAGUCGAGCGAACGGACGAGAAGCUUGCUUCUCUGAUGUUAGCGGCGGACGGGUGAGUAACACGUGGAUAACCUACCUAUAAGACUGGGAUAACUUCGGGAAACCGGAGCUAAUACCGGAUAAUAUUUUGAACCGCAUGGUUCAAAAGUGAAAGACGGUCUUGCUGUCACUUAUAGAUGGAUCCGCGCUGCAUUAGCUAGUUGGUAAGGUAACGGCUUACCAAGGCAACGAUGCAUAGCCGACCUGAGAGGGUGAGCAGCCACACUGGAACUGAGACACGGUCCAGACUCCGACGGGAGGCAGCAGUGGGGAAUAUUGGACAAUGGGCGAAAGCCUGAGGGAGCAACGCCGCGUGGGUGAAGAAGGUCUUCGGAUUGUAAAACUCUUUAAUUAGGGAGGAAGAGAAGUAAAUUAAUUUCUGCAUGUUUUGACGUUACCAACAGAAAAAGCACCGGCUAACUUCGUG